GUGCCAGCAGCCGCGGUAAUACGGAGGGUGCAAACGUUGCUCGGAAUCACUGGGCGUAAAGCGCACGUAGGCGGCCUUGUAAGUUGGAUGUGAAAGCCCUGGGCUCAACCCAGGAAGUGCAUCCAAAACUGCAUGGCUUGAGUACCGGAGGGGUUCAGAGAAUUCCCGGUGUAGAGGUGAAAUUCGUAGAUAUCGGGAGGAAUACCAGUGGCGAAGGCGCUGAACUGGACGGUAACUGACGCUGAGGUGCGAAAGCGUGGGUAGCAAACAGGAUUAGAAACCCCGGUAGUCC
rnacentral:rRNA from 1 species